UCAGGAUCAGACUAUUCAAACUAAAAUGGUUUCAGGAUCGUACUAUUCACAAUAACAUGUCCCCAGGAAGCCCACAAUCUACAAUUUCAGACCAGUAAAGCUUUUGUUUAGUUUCAGCAGCAGCUGACCAACAAUCUGUGGUGGUUGCAACAUGAUCUAUGUUACUAAGGUGCGCUGUUAACUUGGUCUUCAUAUCAGCAGUAGCUUCGGCAAUUCUGCUCUUAACAGUGGGUCUGGAUAGCAUUUUGUAUUGAGGAUUGAGUGCAGCCGCAAACUCUUUAAAUGCUGGCUGUUCUACCAAAGAGAAUGGGUGGUGACCUUCACAAAUAAGCCUGAUGAGGAAGCGGUCAACUGUUCCUUGAGACGCACGGAUGGCACCUCCCACCGCAAGUUGGGCCUGGAUGCCUGGGAGCUUGCUCUGUUUACUCUUGCUUCCUAGCUCCUGUAGUGACUUCCGUGAACAUGCACUAAAAACAGCAAGCUUUGAUGGAUGCUUUCUCUGUAAAUACAAACAUUACAAGAAGGUAGAGAAGAGUCAUGUUAAAAAAAUGCUAUUCAAAAGCUAUAACAAUCUCAUCCUUAUAAAGCAAGUGCUGUACUCACUCUGUUAUAUUAAAAAAAAAUGCUGAUUGGAAUAGGCCUACUGUAGGAUUGCUGCAGUUAGCUAGGCAUUAAAUUCAUUAAAAUAAUUCAAUAAUGUCAAUACAGCAAUUCUGUCAACAAAUUCCUUCUUCAAAACUUCAUGGUUUCAGAAGGGUAUUUCUGCACAUAAAUGCAGUCAUAAUGACUACAUGGAAUUUGAUGUUGGUAUUCGUGAAAAAAGGUAACAUUUGUGAAUAGGCAGCAUGAAUUCUGGAAA